GUUUCACCUUGGGCGAAGCGAGGGGCGAGGCGUGGGGCGGUGGCGUGCCUCCACCCCCAGGGCGGGAAGCAGUGGGUGGGCAUGAAGCUGGGGGGGGGGGGGGGGUCCCAGAGGCUCGCCGGGCUCUUGCAAAGCUGCUCUGGUGCUUCUCGGGGAGCUGGCUGACUGGAAGAGAGCAAGGGGCGGGGGUCUGCCCGGUCACGGAGCCGAGUGACAGCACUGGAGGUAGCAGAGGCGUUCGGGGUUCGUACUGCUGAAAAUGAAGUCAGAACCCGCUCUUCGCUGCUGCCCUGCAUGUGCGACAGCGAGGAAGGAGGAGGGGGUGUGAGUGAGGAGGGAAGGCCAGGUUUUGAGUGGCAUUCGUUUUCACACACGGAACAGUUCGCUGGGGUUAGAUGGCAUCUCGCUACCUCCGAGCGGCUGAUUCCCGCUCCUGAGCCUUACGCUGACUGACAACACGGGGCCGAGUGUGCGAGCGUAGGGGUGUGUGACGCGUGGGCUGCUGCGGCGCGGCUGGGGCGCGCCGGGGUGUGAUGCCCGCCGGGAGGGCCGUGCUGCCAGUCUCGCUGUGAGGCGUAAAAUGGCAGGUGUACCCAAGUGUGGAGACAAGCUUUUCACGUAUGCCAAGAGGCGAUUUUGGUUUUGUUUGUGUGUAAACAGGGAUCUGGAGUCUGCGUUCAGCUCACUCCACCUGAGGCUGAAGUAUGUCAGUUAUCGUUAAGAGGCCUCCAGGAGACAGAGAAAAGGCUGUUGGACAGCAAGGAAGCAGGAGAGGACUUUUGCAUGCGGCCCUUGACCUGAAUGGUCUCUCCCAGCAUAAGUUAAACAACAACUAGUCAUGUACAGGAGAAAAUAGGCUUGUAAUGAAGUAAAUGAAAACAGUGGGAUGGAGACAUUUAUAGCUGCAGUGAGCAGAUUCUUGUGUACAUUCCUUUAACUGGAGAAGCGGUGAACAUUGAAUUAAUAAUGGUGAUGGUCCUUCAUUUCUGGAUGAUGAAAAUUGUGCGCAGCAAGAACAUCCAAUUUCUUAUUUUAUGAAACUUUGCUUUUGCUUGUAUUUAAUGUCUCACUUGUCAAUGUUUUUCUGUCCCUACCAAGCAUGGGCUACAGACCUGCCAGAAUGACUACCCCUCCCUAGCUUCCGCCUCUUCCUACAGUACAAGAAUCUGCAAAUAUACUAUUUCCUAUGGUGGCAUUGUAUAGAUCCGAAAAUGGUUUAUUACAUGAAAAUAUCAUAUGAUUUAUAAGAAGUUGUUAAUGAGAGAAAAUAACCUGUGUUAUAUGUAACACAUUGUCUGCAUGCUUCUCAAACACAGCAUAUGUAUAAAUUACACAGGUACAAAUGUCUUUGUAAAAUUGGUGGUUUGUGCUUCCUGUGAUCACAUACUAGAUUUUAAUUUUUAUUCUAUGUAGAAGAAAUGUAUGCUUACUUGUGCUUGUUUGAUUGCUAUUUGUCUUACAUGUUUGCAUGGCCUAAAUGGGCUCAACAUUUCGGCAUCUUGCAAUUUUUAAUAGCAAUCCAGAGAUCAUAAGAAUGAGAAAGGAUUUUCAUAAUCUGUAGUUUUUAUGUGGGAAAAUAGAUUCUUCUCCAGGUCAAAAUAACUUAGGUUGUUUUCAGCUAGGAAAUUGACCUCUCCAGAGGCCCAGGCCAACAUGUUAGCUUAGAUGAGGGAAUUUUGGUUUCACAGAAAGAGAAGUAAUGGGGCAUGGUGUGUGUGACUAUUUCUGAAGACCACACCAAGGCUACAUAUGGCAGAAGGGUCACAGACUCACUUCAGCUAAAGAUGUAGGUUGUUUUCUGUUAAGUUUGAUUUUGAUUUUGUGACUAUGUCAGGAGAGACACUGAAAAAAAUGAAAUUGAUAAAUGAAAUUUCCAAGAAAUCAGUGUUAGCAGAACAAGAAAAAAAAACCCUUUUGUAUCUCUUUGCUAUGUCCUAGGUUAAUGCAUCACUACUAAAAAUUUAGUAGACUCUUUUAUUUGUAUUGAAUUAUUUUGAAUAAUUACUGGACUCCAUCAAACUAUUAUAACAUCAUUAAUUCCAGCGCUUUAUAUAACUCUAUAACUAUAAUACUAAUGUAUACCUCAAAAUUAUUUUCCUUCUCUUUUGCCAAACAUAGCAAAUUUUUAUGCCUGUAGUAAAUAUAGUCCCACUUCUCAUAUUUUCUCAUAUUUUCUCAUAUUUUCUCAUUUUGAUAAAACCUGAACAUACCCAGAACAGCUCAGCUGUAGAAAUGAAAAAAAAACAACAGCCUAUGUAUUGAAGCAUAUGGAGUUUGUUCAGUGAAGAAACUGGGGCACAGAGAAGUAACAGGACUUCUAUGAGAUGACACAAUAAGAUGCACCUGGCUGCGGAAAAAAGCUCUUGUCUCUCAAAUUUUAGUUUCAUGCCCUGUGAGAUUUUUUUAAGAUUAUUUCUCAACAGAAGAUCACCAUCCGGUCAAAUGCUAAAGCAGGAUUAGCAAGGAAGGAAAAUAAUAGUUACAAUGAUAGGACUAGCUGUGCAAGCUAAAUUGAGGAUUAAUCCAAAUUCAUAAUAUGUCCUGUUUUCUGUGUCUGGUCACUUGAUGUUCAUAAUAAAAUAAUUUUGAUUUGGUGCCACCCUACUUAUGUUACUUUCCAUGAAUAUUCAGCCAUACAUACUUACUGGCAACGAAUGUUUGCCAAUAAAUUUUAUAUUGCAUAGUGUUUAUGAAGAAGAAAGAGUCUUAGUUUUGCAAUCAUUACUAUCCCUUGAAGAAAACUAUCACAAAGCAAGGGCACCUUCAAGUUGGUAUGUUAGGUCGUAGCCAUCCGUGUAUUUAUGUGAUUUUUUUACCCUGUUGUAAAGUUUGAAUAUCUACAGUGAACACUGAUGUAAAUAUGAUCUUGGUGAUUUCUAUAAAGAUCAACAAGAGUAGAUGUGCUCAACCUGUAGAAGUUUCAAGUCCUAAAAUUGCCUGACCAGGUAACUGACACCUCAGUUUGCUUCGAAGUGUGAAAGGCAGCUUCUUCCCUGUAGCCAGUUCUCUAAAGUAGUGAUCUGAUAUUUUCCAGUAACAUGUUUUGUGGGAAAUACAUUUCUUAGGGAGAGAGUUAAAAGCAUGAUUUAAAAGAAAUUCCAGGCAGUGAUGUAUGUUCUGUGGAACAAAAACCAGGGUAGACACUGGUGUGAAUAGGAAAUGGCUCUGAGACACGACCUAGGGUGCAAAACAUGCUCGUGUGUACAGAUAGGAACACACCAUGGUAUGUGUGAACAAGCAUAGUCUUCCUGUGGAUAAUCUACUGGGUCAUACGGAUCUCUGGUAGGCAAGAAUAAUUACAGUGCACUGAGAUCAACUGAGUUGUGUACUCGCUUACAAUUACUCUACAGAAACACAUGCUUAUUUAUUUACUACGUACCACAGCCUUAUUUUACCUCUUGGAAGAUCUUGGUGUUGAACUCUGGCCUGGUGCUAAAUGCUGGAAGCCCUACUGCAGCAGCUGUGUGCGGUGCUUCAGAACAACAAGUGAUAAGGUGGGACAGGAAGGUUUUGUUGUUGCCCAUGUCCCAGGGUGAAAUUAACGCACAGAAAAUUCCUACUGUUUUUUACCAACUCUCUGGCAUGUCUUUUACUUAUGCAAAUCACUUCUAAAUUUGAUACAAUAUUUGUAUGCUCCAAGUGCUUAUCUUUUUUUGAAGAACAGUAUCUUAAUGCUAGUGUCCAUUAUCUGUUUAAUAACCUGUCAGAUCUUUAUCCAAUCUUUAUGGAGACAACACUGCUACAAAAAGAAAGUAUAAGCUGGAAAACAAAUUCUAAUUUGAUUUGGGGGGGGAUUUGUAGGUGUAUAGGUAAUUGUUUAUUAAUCUUUGCUACUGUCUGCAUUGUUGGGUGCUUGCAGUGCUUUAGAAAUCAUUAAGAAAUCACUUUCCCUCACAAGUGUUCAGCUGACCAGCUAAAUGGCUUUGACAUUGUACUUCACAUUUUUGCUAUGUUAAAAGUAAUUCUUUUUUUGUUUAGUUCAUAUGCAAGUGGACUCCAUAUAAACUUUUCUCUUUCUUCACGAUAA